UCUUUAUUCACAUCUAUAAAUUUAGAAUAAUAAAUAUGUACACAGUAAGUGUACCAGUUUUUAUCAUUCACUCACGAAUCUAUAUAUUUUAAAAUAAAAGAAUAUAAAGCACUAAAUUAUUCUUAUAAACGAUUGCCACAAAUUAUUAUAUUUAAAAAAAAAAAAAACAGACAAACUUUAUCGACACUUGGAAAGAAAAAAACUCUAUCAAGAUUGUCCGAACGGCGGAUGAGCGACCAACCAGUAUACGAGUUCGCAGAACGAUGAUCGAGGCAAGUAUACGGAGUGCUCCGUUUACCAAGCUGCCAACUCUGUCGCUUUGCUGUGCGAGAGGGUAAAAGAUGCGAUGUUGUCGGGCCAACAACACGUAAACGACCGGCACAGCAUGGCAACGCCGCGAAACGAGAGACACGCUGUGAACCACGAAGGAGAAGGCAACGUAGUCGUUUCGGUUUGAAACGCAAUGCCGGCCGCUUGCCAGAUACCGUAACAGGGUCGACGGAUGAAGAAAUUUGGCGGUAUCGGCUUCUUCGUGCAGGUGCACUAACACACAAGAAAAGACGUGUGACUGGAGGUUGAGUCGUCGGAGAGUCGAAGGUUUUCGGAUGGGUGACGUCGAGUGGAACACGAGGACGAGGCGCAGAGGAAAGGUGGGGUGAGCAUGGGGUGCAGGGGCGCGGUACAGUAUGGAGUGGGGAGAGAUGGGGCAGAGUUGGGCUGGAGAAGGGGAGGUGGUCGACCACGCGCGAUCAAUAUAACAAAAUACGCCGGCAACCCGCACGUACAUACAUGUACGCGUGCGCGCACACACGUAUAUUUUCAAGCAUUCUGUCAAUACAUCGACUUGUACAUGCACCUAUACGCAUACACACACGCGUAUAAAUUGUAAAUAUAAUCUAAACGUGCACACAAUCUCGCGAGUUGGGUGCGUAUAUAUAUAUACGUAUAUACGUGUAUGAAAGCUGCGCAUACUCUUAUCUCCGUGUGACCAUAAAUUGCAAACGCGAUACGUGUGCAUAUUACUUGUGCACAGCCAUAUAUACGUAUGCACACUCGGAUGGAAACAGUUAUAUCUCGCGUGUAACAAACGCAGAGAAAUUCGAAGGUACAUCAUGUGCCAUGCGUGUAUAUAUACGAAGAAAAUAUACGUUUAGAUAAGUGGGUAAAACGCAUUGCAUGAAUACGUUGCACAUGCCGUACGCAGAAGAAUCAUAUCUCGUUGCUUAUCACACGUUUCAAGAAACGGGAGGUCAACGGCGUAACGACGCCACCCGCCAUUUUAAGGACGAACCUUUAAGGCUAUAACGCACGGUAGAUGACUGCAAGAAUGAAGCCAGUGUAUAAAUGAAGUAUCGCCAGCUGGCACGUAAAAUGUAGCGCCACGAGCAAUGCGAAUAUUCAGCAACGUAUAUACAUUUAUAAGAAGAAAAAUUAACGAUACACGAUAAAGAUUAGAAUUCAUAUUGAAAACAUCGAAAAUCCAUUUCCCGUUUAAAAAGAUUACCAAAAGUUAAUCGAUAUCAUAUUUCAUAUCAUCUUAAUCAAUAUGUAAUUAAUUAUUUUAAAUUCGAAAACAGGAUUUGUUCGUAUAAAUAAUAGUGAAAAAUGUAAAGAAUGUUUU